rnacentral:misc_RNA from 1 species
AGGUGAACCUGCGGAAGGAUCAUUAAAAGAUAUGGCAUAUUCCAUGUGGAUAUACCCAAUCAACCCAUUCUGAGUACCUUACCUGUUGCUUCCACACAGUGUCAGUGCAUUAGUACUGACAUUCAGACGAUAGUGAAAACUUAUCCGAUGGAGAUGUGUGGAGGAUAUACAUCAAACUCUUGCAUUACCAUGUAUUCUGUCUGAUUAUGUUUAAUACAAAAUAUUAAAACUUUCAACAACGGAUCUCUUGGUUCUCG